GAUGAAGAACGCAGCGAAAUGCGAUAAGUAAUGUGAAUUGCAGAAUUCAGUGAAUCAUCGAAUCUUUGAACGCACAUUGCGCCCCUUGGUAUUCCGAGGGGCAUGCCUGUUCGAGCGUCAUUAUAACCCCUCAAGCUCAGCUUGGUGUUGGGGCCUGCCGCACGGGCAGCCCUUAAAAUCAGUGGCGGUGCCAUCUGGCUCUAAGCGUAGUAAUUCUUCUCGCUAUAGGGUCCCGGUGGAUGCUUGCCAUUAACCCCCAAUUUUCUAUGGUUGACCUCGGAUCAGGUAGGGAUACCCGCUGAACUUAAGCAUAUCAAUAAGCGGAGGA
rnacentral:misc_RNA from 1 species